UGAGUCGGUCGGGUGACCGCGGGUCGGGAUUGCUUCGGCAUGAACCGGUCUGAGGAAGGUCGGGGCUCCACAGGACAUGGUGCUGGCUAACAGCCAGUUGGGGUGACCCACAGGAAAGUGCCACAGAGAACAGACCGCCGAUGGCCCGGUUCGCCGGGCACAGGUAAGGGUGAAACGGUGCGGUAAGAGCGCACCAGCAUCCGGGGCGACCCGGAUGGCUAGGCAAACCCCACCAGGAGCAAGGCCGCAUGUCGGGUAUGGGCGGUCCGCCCCGUCAGUCCCCCGGGACAGACAAUCCGCUGGUAGGCCGCAUAGAUGGAUGGUCACACAAGCGCCGGGAGGCGCCGGACAGAACCCCGCCUAUAGACCGGCUCACCAU
rnacentral:RNase_P_RNA from 1 species